UACGUAGGGGGCAAGCGUUGUCCGGAUUCACUGGGUUUAAAGGGUGCGUAGGUGGGCAAGUAAGUCAGUGGUGAAAUCUCCGGGCUUAACCCGGAAACUGCCAUUGAUACUAUUUGUCUUGAAUACUGUGGAGGUCAGCGGAAUAUGUCAUGUAGCGGUGAAAUGCUUAGAUAUGACAUAGAACACCAAUUGCGAAGGCAGCUGGCUACACAAAUAUUGACACUGAGGCACGAAAGCGUGGGGAUCAAACAGG
rnacentral:rRNA from 1 species